rnacentral:rRNA from 1 species
AGCCGGUGUUCUGUCGUACGUUUUGAAAAACGAACCAGGGAGUGCACUUACUUGGCGAGUCUAACUGGAUCAUCCAGGAAGGCGCAGGGAAACCGACAAGGCCGCAGCAUUGCGAGGGCCGCCGUGUUCAAGCGCGGGGAGUCAAGUGGGUGCGACCCGAAACCA